UACGUAGGCAGCGAGCGUUGUUCGGAAUUACUGGGCGUAAAGAGUGUGUAGGCGGUGCUCUAAGUUCGGUGUGAAAUCUCCCGCUUAACUGGGAGGGUGCGCCGGAAACUGGAGUGCUCGAACGUGGGAGAGGAAAGCGGAAUUCCCGGUGUAGCGGUGAAAUGCGUAGAUAUCGGGGAGGAACACCUGCGGUGUAGACGGCUUUCUGGACCAUUGUUGACGCUGAGACACGAAAGCGUGGGUAGCAAACAGG
rnacentral:rRNA from 1 species